AGAGACUAAUAUUUUAUUCUCAACAUUCGAGCAUAUGCUGCUGAACCUAUAGCUUUUAAGAAACUUUGCUAUUAAAUGUGAUUUUUCAUAUAUUUUGCUAAUUUCCAUUGGUUGCUGGACUCUGGUAUUUUCUUUUUCCAUCGUCUAAAAUCGUCUAAAAAAUGCAGACGCAAAUUUCCCUGUCUUGUUGCGUGGCAUUCGGCAGAGAAGGAUGCGUGCCCACUACAGGUUUUAUUUCUGCCCGACUCAUCCGUCCGUUGCAGCCUGAUAAAAAUUUAAAUCUCCUGUCUUAUUAUUAUGUGCAGCAGCAAGAAAAGAGCAAACAUUCUUCACGAGACAUCCACGAACCUAUCGACAAUGUACACAGGGGUUUUUAUUGAGGUCCAGAUGAAUAGAGAAUGUUAGAUCCCUCUUCAAUGUCCUUUUCAUUUUAUCGAGGUCCAGAUGUAAAGAGAACGACAGAUCCCUCUUCAUUGUCCUUUUGUUUUUAUUGAAGUCUAGAUAUAUAGAGAAUGACAGACCCCUCUUCUUUGUCCUUUUCUAACCAUGUUUCUGUUGAUGGGUUAUCAGAGGUAUGACUUUUGUAUUUCUAUAUAGAAUGCUUUGCACAUA